UUUUAAAUGGCCGCAGUAUUUUGACUGUGCAAAGGUAGCAUAAUCAUUAGUUUUUUAAUUAAAAGCUUGUAUGAAAGGCUGGACGAGGUAAAAUCUGUCUCUAUUUAAAUUAUAGUAGAAUUUAACUUUUAAGUUAAAAGGCUUAAAUAUUAUUAAAAGACGAGAAGACCCUAUAGAUCUUUAUAGUUUAUUAAAUUAAGUUAAUUUAGAAAUAUUAAUGUUUUAUUUAAUUAAAUUAUUUUAUUGGGGUAAUAAAAAGAUUGAACUAAUUCUUUUUUAUAAUAAACAUUAAUUUAUGAAUAUUAAUGAUCCAGUUUUACUGAUUAUAAGAUUAAGUUACCUUAGGGAUAACAGCGUAAUUUUUUUAGAGAGUUCAUAUCGAUAAAAAAGUUUGCGACCUCGAUGUUGGAUUAAAGAUUAUUUUAGGUGUAGAAGCUUAAUAAUUUUGGUCUGUUCGACCAUUAAAUCUUUACAUGAUCUGAGUUCAGACCGGCGUAAGCCAGGUCGGUUUCUAUCUUUAAUAAAAUAAAAUAUUUUAGUACGAAAGGACCAAAUAUUUGAUAUAUUUAUAUUUAAUUUAUUGAAUAUUA
rnacentral:rRNA from 1 species